CGAAUGGGGCAACCCUUUUAUACGGCCAGCUGAAUACAUAGGCUGGCGCGAGCCAACCCAGCGAACUGAAACAUCUUAGUAGCUGGAGGAAAGGAAAGUAAAAACGACUCCCUAAGUAGCGGCGAGCGAACGGGGAAGAGCCUAAACCGAUGGUUUCGACCAUCGGGGUUGUGGGACAGCAACGUGUAUCAGGAAUGUUAGGAGAAGUGUUUGAAUGGCACGCCACAGAGGGUGAAAGCCCCGUAUCUGAAAACUGAACUGAGCUAGCUGUAUCCCGAGUAGCACGGAGCACGUGAAAUUCCGUGUGAAUCCGCGAGGACCGCCUCGUAAGGCUAAGUACUAC
rnacentral:rRNA from 1 species